rnacentral:lncRNA from 1 species
AUGAAGCACUGGGAUUACAGGCACGUGCCACUGCACCCGGCCUCUGUUAGCAUUUCAAGAAAAGGUCAUAGAAAAAGAUUUCUAGUUAUUUCACACUCAGAUGGAGUUGCCAAGAGCCUGAGGUACGGUGGAGGACCCAUUCUCUUUUAGAAGUGCCAGUUGAUGACUGGGGUCCCAUGCCAUAAAGACAAAUAGUUGGUGCCUAAGUCAAACUCUUAAGAAUGCUUAGCAUCAUUUCCUAGGUUAAAGCUGUAUCUUAGACAUUAUUGGGAUGCAAAAUUAUUUGACUUGUCUCUUUGCAGAAAAGAUCUGUGCCAUGCUUCAGGGCAUACCAGACACAGUCACUCACUCCAUAAUUAUAGGAUAGCUCUCAGGACUGGCUUCAAUUAACCAAGCUGCUUCUCACUAUCACUAUAUUAUCCAUAUUUAUAGCAUUUGACAUUUUCACAGUGUUCUUUAAUCAGAUUGUAUGUAGGUUGACUUAAUCUAAAUCUCUCACAUACUUGGGAUACCAGAUGUUCCUGUUUUCUGGACCUUCCAGAUGGGGAAAUAAGGCAUGAAUCAGUUGUCCGAUGACGGCACCUGGGAGUUACAGUCCCAAGUCACUUGGGCCGGUCAGUGGUGGUUGAGGUUUCAUACUAAAGCCAAGGCCUGCUUGGUAAGGUUGGGUAGGUCAAUGAGACACUAAGACACUGUGCUAAAGAUAAAAAGACAUUGUCUUGGGUUCAAAGGUCCAAGGACUAGAUGAGCCUGGCUAGUUCAAUGGAACCUCAGGAGCCUAGCGUCCUUACCACCACCAGGCUACAGAGGCAAUGAGACGGAGCAGGGAUGCCUCUUAGUGACCUGCCAGACAUCCUCUCACAAGCAUGGAAGUCAAGGAAGAUAUUGAGUUCUUUCUAGAGAAAUUCCAGGCACCUAGCUCCCCCUGAGAAGUAAGUGACCAACGUGAUAAGCAGUAGCCAAGGAAGUCAGCAUCACGAGAUGUUUGGUUCCCUGUACACUAAAGAUAACAUCUUACCAUAUGUCCCUGAGCUCUUUCAGAAACUUAGACCCCCCAACAAAUGGAACCAGUGGCACAAAGACCUC